rnacentral:rRNA from 1 species
CCUACGGGAGGCAGCAGUGGGGAAUAUUGCACAAUGGGGGAAACCCUGAUGCAGCGACGCCGCGUGAAGGAAGAAGUACUUCGGUAUGUAAACUUCUAUCAGCAGGGAAGAAAAUGACGGUACCUGACUAAGAAGCCCCGGCCAACUACGUGCCAGCAGCCGCGGUAAUACGUAGGGGGCAAGCGUUAUCCGGAUUUACUGGGUGUAAAGGGAGCGUAGGCGGCGAUGCAAGUCAGAAGUGAAAGCCCCGGGCUCAACUCCUGGACUGCUUUUGAAACUGUGUUGCUAGAUUGCAGGAGAGGUAAGUGGAAGUCCUGGUGUAGCGGUGAAAUGCGUAGAUAUUAGGAGGAACACCAGUGGCGAAGGCGGCUUACUGGACUGUAAAUGACGCUGAUGCUCGAAAGCGUGGGGAGCAAACAGGAUUAGAUACCCCAGUAGUC